UAAUUUUUCUAUCCUUUCUCUACUGAAGAGAAUGGUAAGAUAUUAGUCUUCGUUGCUUGCUGUUACUGUUAAUGCACUACAUCCAUGCAUUGUGUUUGAAUUAAGGUUGCUGUGACAUCAAAAGUGAAAUUUGAUUCUACUGAAAUCUGUGGAAUCUUCAAAACCUACAAAAAAACAACAACAACAACAAAGAAAAUAUUUGACUAUCAGUAACAGUUUCUCUUCAAUGCAUAAUAGAGUCACAAAUAGCUUAUAAGGACCAAAAAAAUAUUGCAAAGGAUAUGCUACAGAAUUCAUAGGCUUGCUAUUAUAUCCAUGUUCCCCACCCAAAAAUCAUGACUUUCUGUAAGAACAGUCCUAUUCCUAGAUUAUAUAGCCUCACCCUUGGUGAGAAUGCAUAUGCACUGCCUUAGCAAACAUACUAUGGUACAUUCACAACUGUGGAUUUGGGGUAAUUAUCAAGCUAUGACUCAAUGUCUAAGUAUUAUAUUACCUCAUGUAAUACAUAUGUUUUCUAUACCUAUAUAAUGUUAUAUAAUAUAUCACAAAAUAGUUUUAUAGAGUACUCUAUUUUACAGAGAGUCAAAUGUUUUUUUCUUUUGUUAAUAAUCCACACUGUUGCCCAUUCUUCAGCUUUUCCCUAGGUGAGUUUAAUAAUUUUCAGAAUUUCUUGAAGUAAUUUCUGAUUCGUCAAAGACCAUCUUCAUCUAAAAAGACAUCUGCAGAAAGCUAACAGAAGUCUGAGUUUCCUGUGGAGAGCAACUUUCUGUCUGAGUGGCGUGCAUUCCACUCCUCCUCUGUACCAUACAGCCAGAAAAGAUGGGUUUGGAGCUGCCUUCCUGUGAAAUGGCUGGCUGGUGUGUGUGACAGGCCAUCAGAGGGCUGCCUCCAGGGAAGGAAAACCAUUGAGUAAUGAUUGCCUUUCCUCCAGGGAAAAGCUGUGCCUGUCCCGUCUACCCUUUGUCCACUUUCAUGUAAUCUUUAGGAAGGUAAUGUACCUGAGUCUCUUAUUUGGCUGCCACGUUGGAUUUGAAUUAGCCAUUGGAUGUAAGAGAUGUGGGAAGGACCAGCAGGUAGGCAGGCUGUUGCACUUACAUCAGCCUUAAUUCCAUAGAUAACGAGGUAGAUUUUCUGAUUGUUUUCAUCGAUUUCCUGAUAGUUUUUACUUAUUAGGAUAAGAGCUUUAAGUACUGGGGACGUUAAUAAAAUGCAGUAAUAACAUCUUCACUGCCUUCCGAAUGCUAGGAUAGUUUAUGUAAUGAAAAACCAAUUUUCUUCCCUUUUUGUACAUCUGCAUACUUUCAUGGAACUUCAUUAGGACAGUAAUAUUCAAUUAUUUGCUUAUAGUUGAAUCUCUCUAAUUCUUCCUAACUCUUCAUAUUUUUAAAAGUUAUUUCCCAUAAUAUUGCUAGUCAUACUGACUAGUUACUAUAAAUCCAUACUUUUCUAUGAGAAAUAUAAGCAGUCAAAGUGUUCUAUUGAUUUUAUGAUACACUUAGAAAUGCACUGUUAUUUAUGGAUUUAGGAGUAUAUAUAUUAGAAGCUGUUAUCAGAUUUAAAUGUUUUUGAAAGUCCAGAUUUGUUCAUACCGUUUAGCAUUUGGACAUAGUUUUGGCCUGGAGAAGUUCUUCCCAUACAGAUUUUUGACAAAGGGAUGCCCUGAGAGUCACUUGAAGAAUAACAUUGUCUCCAUUGGGGAAAUUAAGUCUUAGAGAGCAAGUUAAAUUAUGCAUUUGAACAAAUGAGUUGUAAUGCUUGGUCCUGGCUAAAACGGAAGAAUGGAAUUUAUCACAGUCUUUAUAAAUGAGGUGACUAUAAAUGCAUACAAAUACACGUAAAUACAAAUCUGAUGAGCAGAUGUUUUGUUCCUUUUACUUUUAGUCUGAACAGAAUAAUAUCUCUGUAUUUACCAGAGCUUUAUCUUCAUGAAAACUUGUUCUUAGUUACAAAUCACUUUUUUAGUAUUUCAGGCUCAAUAACUGGAAAGGUAUUAUUUCCACCUCAGGAAAAUGAAUAACAGCCUUUAAACCAGCUAUUCUGGUUCACAUAAGAAGCUCCAUCCUGCCCGUGGUAGUGAAAGUCUGUGGAGGAUGGACUAAAGAGCUCAUGAGCUAAUGGAACUCAUUGCAGACAUAAGGUAACCACAACUUCCAGCUAAAUGCACAACAGGCUGAUAAAGCUGUUUGUACACCGGACAAUGAACUGCAUAAGAGAUGUAGUUCUGUUUGUUUCUUCAGGAAAACCUCCUAAGAGCAGAGAAGAUGGCAAAGAAGAAAUCCCAGCUAUUUGAAAACCACAGGUGAGAUUCCAGUAUUUUAGAUGAAUAAGAAACCAUGUCGUUAUUAAACUUGAAAGAUACCAACAUCUCUGAGAUUGACAGCAUCCCAUGGAAGAUAGAUUUCCUGCUGCUACAGAAACAUAAUGGUGAUCCAAAGGUAAAUCAGCAGUGACAGAUCAGUGACCAUAUUGCACACUCAGCAUCCUCAAGAGCACUGUGUUUGUCUGCAUAGCUCAUGCUUUUCUUAUCUAAAGAGUUUUCUUAUCCAUAAUUAACUUCAGGAUUUGUUAGCCAUGAAGUGUUUAUUUGCAAGAUGUUUUCAAGCAAAAUAAUAAUAAAAAAAAAGCUCAUGCUAAGGCUGCCUCCC